rnacentral:rRNA from 1 species
GGUCAUUUAGAGGAAGUAAAAGUCGUAACAAGGUCUCCGUUGGUGAACCAGCGGAGGGAUCAUUACUGAGUUUACGCUCUAUAACCCUUUGUGAACAUACCUAUAACUGUUGCUUCGGCGGGUAGGGUCUCCGCGACCCUCCCGGCCUCCCGCCUCCGGGCGGGUCGGCGCCCGCCGGAGGAUAACCAAACUCUGAUUUAACGACGUUUCUUCUGAGUGGUACAAGCAAAUAAUCAAAACUUUUAACAACGGAUCUCUUGGUUCUGGCAUCGAUGAAGAACGCAGCGAAAUGCGAUAAGUAAUGUGAAUUGCAGAAUUCAGUGAAUCAUCGAAUCUUUGAACGCACAUUGCGCCCGCCAGCAUUCUGGCGGGCAUGCCUGUUCGAGCGUCAUUUCAACCCUCAAGCUCUGCUUGGUGUUGGGGCCCUACAGCUGAUGUAGGCCCUCAAAGGUAGUGGCGGACCCUCCCGGAGCCUCCUUUGCGUAGUAACUUUACGUCUCGCACUGGGAUCCGGAGGGACUCUUGCCGUAAAACCCCCCAAUUUUCCAAAGGUUGACCUCGGAUCAGGUAGGAAUACCCGCUGAACUUAAGCAUAUCAAUAAGCGGAGGAA